UUUGGUGAUGAACAGCAGCAUGA
rnacentral:misc_RNA from 1 species